GUGAAUCAUCGAAUUUUUGAACGCAAAUUGCGCUUCCUGGUAUCCCGGGAAGUAUGCCUGUUUGAGGGUCAGUAUUAACAAAAAAUCGGUUUGGUUGCAAAUUGUGACGUUUCCGGAGUUUGGGCUAAUCUUAACUUUUUUGGUUAGAGGGUUAAAAAUGGACUUUUUUUGCGCAUUUUUAAAGGUAAUUAAAUUUUUUUAUUCGUCUAUUUUCUAAU
rnacentral:misc_RNA from 1 species